CAGCAGCCACGGGAAUACGAAGGGUGCAAGCGCUAAUCGGAAUUACUGGGCGUAAAGCGUGCGUAGGCGGUUUGUUAAGUCUGCUGUGAAAUCCCCGGGCUCAACCUGGGAAUGGCAGUGGAUACUGGCAAGCUAGAGUCUUGUAGAGGGGGGUAGAAUUCCAGGUGUAGCGGUGAAAUGCGUAGAGAUCUGGAGGAAUACCGGUGGCGAAGGCGGCCCCCUGGACAAAGACUGACGCUCAGGUGCGAAAGCGUGGGGAGCAAACAGGAUUAGAUACCCGCGUAGUCCCUGUCUCUUAUAC
rnacentral:rRNA from 1 species